AUUGAACGCUGGCGGCAGGCCUAACACAUGCAAGUCGAACGAGUGGCGGACGGGUGAGUAAUGUCUGGGAAACUGCCUGAUGGCGGGGGAUCACUACUGGAAACGGUAGCUAAUACCGCAUACCAUCAGAUGUGCCCAGAUGGGAUGAGCGAGUUGGUGGGGUAACGGCUCACAAAGUCGACGAUCCCUAGCUGGUCUGAGAGGAUGAACAUCCACACUGGAUCUGAGACACGGUCCAGACUCCUACGGGAGGAAGCAGUGGUGAAUAGUGCACCAUGGGCGCAAGUCUGAUGCAGCCAUGCCGCGUGUAUGAAGAAGGCCUUCGGGUUUUAAAGUACUUUCAGCGGGGAUGCGUUACCCGCAGAAGAAGCACCGGCUAACUCCGUGCCAGCAGCCGCGGUAAUUC
rnacentral:rRNA from 1 species